rnacentral:rRNA from 1 species
AUUGAACGCUGGCGGCAGGCCUAACACAUGCAAGUCGAACGAGUGGCGGACGGGUGAGUAAUGUAUGGGAAACUGCCUGAUGGAGGGGGAUAACUACUGGAAACGGUAGCUAAUACCGCAUACCAUCGGAUGUGCCCAGAUGGGAUUAGCUAGUAGGUGGGGUAACGGCUCACCUAGGCGACGAUCCCUAGCUGGUCUGAGAGGAUGAUCAGCCACACUGGGACUGAGACACGGCCCAGACUCCUACGGGAGGCAGCAGUGGGGAAUAUUGCACAAUGGGCGCAAGCCUGAUACAGCCAUGCCGCGUGUAUGAAGAAGGCCUUAGGGUUGUAAAGUACUUUCAGGGGGGAGGCGUUACCCGCAGAAGAAGCACCGGCUAACUCCGUGCCAGCAGCCGCGGUAAUAC